rnacentral:rRNA from 1 species
UACGUAGGGGGCAAGCGUUAUCCGGAUUUAUUGGGUUUAAAGGGUGCGCAGGCGGCACGGCAAGCCGGCGGUCAAAUCGCGGGGCUCAACCCCGCCCAGCCGUCGGAACUGCCGGGCUAGAGUGGGCGAGAAGUGCGCGGAAUGCGUGGUGUAGCGGUGAAAUGCAUAGAUAUCACGCAGAACUCCGAUUGCGAAGGCAGCGCACCGGCGCCCUACUGACGCUCAGGCACGAAAGCGUGGGUAUCGAACAGG